UUGGGACAAUUGUCACUAAAUGAAGCCAAGGAUGAACCUUUGAUGUUUCCCAUUGCUCGGUUUAUUGUAACAUUAGAACCAGUCAAUUAGGGUUUUAUUGCUUUUUGUUUAUGUGUGAGAAUCAAAGUGAUGGCCUAGAACAUACGAGGUACCUUGCCCUCCCUUCCAAUGGCAGAACCUACUCAGCUGCUGUCCUCUGUGGAGGAUGUAUCUGAGAGCUGUGACAGAAGGCAAAACGAUGGAGAGCUGUGAGCAGAGAUUGGAGAGCAUCAGUCAUGACUAAAGCUCGAUCUGGGGGAAUAGGUCAUGAUUCAAAUCCAACUUCAGGUUAAAUAACUUCUUCGAUACCAUGGAGACACAGUGGUGGAAACAAGAAUCUUGAAAGUAGCCAGCACGGCAAAUUCAACACAGAAUUGUAUUUGGUUGAAGAGGAAGACAAAAUUUUCAAAGACCAAGAACUAAGAAUCCCCUUAAAAUAAACACAACUCCUUCUAUACAUCAAGAGUGCUCUAUUUCAAUAAGCAAGUUUAUGACUGUCAUUUAUGUCAGGACUAGCAAGGAUGGCCUCUGCUCCACCUAGUAGCUGAUUCAGAUAGACUGGCCAACAAUAUAGCUAAGUGAAUGAAGAUGCUUGCUGCCAAGCCUGAAACCUUAGUUGGAUUCCUGUAACCCACAUGGUAGAAAGAGAGAACAGAGAACAAAGUCCAGCACCUUCACAUACCCUAGGUGAGAAGAGAAGAGUAACUUAUAAAACACAGCAUCCAGAGCUGCUCUUCGGAGUCUCAUGAAGCAUAAAGUGAAAGGAGAUCCGGUGUCUGUCCAUUGCCAUCCGUUGUUUUCUUCAGGCUCCUCAGGACUGCUGACUGCUGCAGCUAGUGACUUUCUGGGUUUCAGCCUUCUGGACAUCUGGGAGCACAGUGGGGAUGAGCCACAGGAGUCCAUCAUGUUGGUGUGUUUGCCCUAUUUAUAGCCUACCUCCUGCUAAAGAGAGGACUGAAAGCACCUCACAAAACAGUAACAAGAAGAGAUAAAAAUAAACAAGUGGAAAAUUCCCGCAACAGGAGUGUUGAAACUGCACUGGAUGACGAUUUGGACACAGACAGGCAGACAUCUGCAAGUACUACUAACCUACAAGCAACAUACAUUCAAAUGGAAGGUCUAUGAAGGAAUAGUACCUAGGACUCAAAGGCAGUGUAUGCUAUAUGUUCAUGCUCUGGAGGCAGGGAGAUAUAGGCUCUUCAUCUCUUCAU
rnacentral:lncRNA from 1 species